ACCGAGCCUCUCUCCGAGACA
rnacentral:snRNA from 1 species